GGGGAUUUUGCUCAGUGGUAGAGCGCUUGCCUAGCAAGCACAAGGCCCUGGUUUCAGUCCCCA
rnacentral:tRNA from 1 species